UACGGAGGGUGCAAGCAUUAAUCGGAUUUACUGGGCGUAAAGGGCGCGUAGGCGGGUUUAUAAGUCGAAUGUGAAAUUCCGGGGCUCAACCCCGGAGCUGCAUUAGAAACUGACCAGCUAGAGGUUGGUAAGGGAAAACGGAAUUCCACGUGUAGCGGUGAAAUGCGUAGAUAUGUGGAAGAACACCGGUGGUGAAGACGGUUUUCUGUGCCAAACCUGACGCUGAGGCGCGAAAGCUAGGGGAGCAAACAGG
rnacentral:rRNA from 1 species